GCGAACAAAGCAGUUAGGUGACUGCGACCGGGGAAGGCGCCUGAGUCGGUAGAGAGUGGUUCGAGUCCACUUGUUCGCGCCA
rnacentral:tRNA from 1 species